CGCUUUUGACCACUCAUCGUUGAUGAAGUUUAUGAGUCAAAAGAGGGAACAGGGUGAGAAACCCUGACUGUACCCGCAACUGUAAUGGAAGAGUUCUCAGCAAUAUACGUCACUGGUUAUACCGGGAAGACUGCUGAGAAUGAUGACGCCAGAGUCAGGAAACCUGCCUUUGCAAAGCCCAAGAU
rnacentral:ncRNA from 1 species